rnacentral:rRNA from 1 species
AGGCAGCAGUGGGGAAUUUUGGACAAUGGGCGAAAGCCUGAUCCAGCAAUGCCGCGUGCAGGACGAAGGCCUUCGGGUUGUAAACUGCUUUUGUACGGAACGAAACGGUCUCCUCUAAUACGGGGGGCUAAUGACGGUACCGUAAGAAUAAGCACCGGCUAACUACGUGCCAGCAGCCGCGGUAAUACGUAGGGUGCGAGCGUUAAUCGGAAUUACUGGGCGUAAAGCGUGCGCAGGCGGUUAUAUAAGACAGAUGUGAAAUCCCCGGGCUCAACCUGGGACCUGCAUUUGUGACUGUAUAGCUAGAGUACGGUAGAGGGGGAUGGAAUUCCGCGUGUAGCAGUGAAAUGCGUAGAUAUGCGGAGGAACACCGAUGGCGAAGGCAAUCCCCUGGACCUGUACUGACGCUCAUGCACGAAAGCGUGGGGAGCAAACAGGAUUAGAUACCCUGGUAGUCCACGCCCUAAACGAUGUCAACUGGUUGUUGGGUCUUCACUGACUCAGUAACGAAGCUAACGCGUGAAGUUGACCGCCUGGGGAGUACGGCCGCAAGGUUGAAACUCAAAAGAAUUGACG